AUUGAACGCUGGCGGCAUGCCUUACACAUGCAAGUCGAACGGCAGCGCGGGAGCAAUCCUGGCGGCGAGUGGCGAACGGGUGAGUAAUAUAUCGGAACGUGCCCAGUAGCGGGGGAUAACGCAGCGAAAGCUGUGCUAAUACCGCAUACGCACUACGGGGGAAAGAGGGGGAUCGCAAGACCUCUCACUAUUGGAGCGGCCGAUAGCAGAUUAGCUUGUUGGCGGGGUAAAAGCCCACCAAGGCGACGAUCUGUAGCUGGUUUGAGAGAACGACCAGCCACACUGGGACUGAGACACGGCCCAGACACCUACGGGAGGCAGCAGUGGGGAAUUUUGGACAAUGGGCGCAAGCCUGAUCCAGCCAUGCCGCGUGCGGGAAGAAGGCCUUCGGGUUGUAAACCGCUUUUGUUCGGGAAGAAAUUGACUGGGCUAAUACCCUGGUCGGAUGACGGUACCGGAAGGAUAAGCACCGGCUAACUACGUGCCAGCCGCCGCGGUAA
rnacentral:rRNA from 1 species